rnacentral:rRNA from 1 species
UUUUAAUUGAAGGCUUGUAUGAAGGGUUGGACAAAGGAUAAGCUGUCUUUUUUCUUGUUUUUGAAUUUGUCUUUUAAGUGAAAAGACUUAAAUUAUUUUAAGGGACGAUAAGACCCUAUAAAUCUUUAUAUUAAUAUGUUUUUAUUUUAAUUUUUAAUGUUUAUAGAGAUAAAAAUAUAGAAUAUUAUAUUGGGGUGAUAAGAAUAAUUAAUAAACUGUUCUAAAUAAAAACAAAGUUGUUUGGAGAAAUAAUAGAUCCUUUUUAGAGAUUAAAAGUUUAAGUUACUUUAGGGAUAACAGCGUUAUUUUUCUUGAGAGUUCUAAUCGAAAGAAAAGUUUGCGACCUCGAUGUUGAAUUAAAAUUUCUCUAUGGUGCAGCCGUUAUAGAAGAAAGUCUGUUCGACUUUUAAAAUUUUACGUGAUCU